AUUUUAGGGCCUGAUCCAAAGCUCACUGAAAUCAAUGGGAGUCUUUCCAUUGACCUCAGUGAACUUUGGGUCAGACCUUUAAAU
rnacentral:pre_miRNA from 1 species